UGAGGAAUAUUGGGCAAUGCCCGCAAGGGUGACCCAGCAACGCCGCGUGGAGGAUGAAUGUCGUAAGAUUGUAAACUCCUGUUAGAGGGGAAGAAUAGUACCGGUUGGACCGGUAUAUGACUGUACCCUCAGAGAAAGCCCCGGCUAACUACGUGCCAGCAGCCGCGGUAAUACGUAGGGGGCAAGCGUUGUCCGGACUUACUGGGUGUAAAGGGCGCGCAGGCGGGAUAAAAAGUCAGUGGUGAAAUCCUACAGCUUAACUGUAGAACUGCCUUUGAUACUUUGAAUCUUGAGUUCGGGAGAGAGAGACGGAAUUCCAGGUGUAGUGGUGAAAUACGUAGAUAUCUGGAAGAACACCAUUUGCGAAGGCGGUCUCUUGGUCCGACACUGACGCUGAGGCGCGAAAGCGUGGGGCGCAAACA
rnacentral:rRNA from 1 species